rnacentral:tRNA from 5 species
GGGCAGUUAGCUCAGUGGUAGAGCAUCGCCUUCACACGGCGGGGGUCGGUGGUUCGAAACCACUACUGCCCACCA